GAAUGAGACGAUGAUUAGAUUUGUUUCCCUAUUGGUUUGAUCACCAAGAUGAUGGUUUUGUUUCUGGGUGGGUAAAUUUGAUCAUCA